AUUUCAUGUUUUUGAAUGUGUGCUGUCACAGGUACACUGAGAGCGGUACUCAGAGACAUAUGGAGACCAAUGAAAACAACAAGAAGGAUGACACACAGUCCUAUGAGAAUGUAGAAGCAGCUAUCUACAGCAAUCAAGACAAAGUCACAUAUUAUGUUUCUGCAGAUGAAGAUUAUCUUAACCCCGAUGCAAUCGAGGAAGAGGAAGUGGCCGGGCCAGAGGAACAUCACAACAACACCCUACAACUGCCUAGCAAUUUGACUGAUACAGAUGGAGAGUCGUAUGAGAACAUGGAGGGGUGUUUAUAUGCUCAGCCUCGCAAACGGACACAGCAACUCCAGCACGCAGCUGAAGAUGAGGACUAUAUAAAUCCUGAUGAAGAUAGAAAACAAGAUCUCGCUCUGGACCAAACAGACACCGAGUCAUAUGAAAUUAUGGUUGGAUCAGACUGUCCGUACAACUACACAACCCAUGACACCAUGGAGGAUGAUUCAUAUGAGCAGAUGAAUGGAAUCCCAGUCCUGAUCUAGAAAGAAAUGGAUGGAAGAAGAGCGGGUGAAUGAAAGAGAUGCAGAGAAAUGGACAACUGCAGUGAAAUUGCAAUUAAAAGAGAGACAAACGAGAAACACUGAGUUUCUUUUUAAGACUAAAACCUAGCAGCUACAGGAUGCGUAAUAGUUAAUUGUUAUUUUUACAAGUAGCCUAUGUAAGUAUUGAAAUCAAAAUGGACUGUUUAAUUUAAAAAAAAAAAUUUAAUUUCUGUGUUAUUGGGCAUUGUUUAUUUCUCUCUCACACAUAACCAAAG
rnacentral:lncRNA from 1 species